GGCUUUUCCCUCAGUCCUGUCUGCUUGCUGACCAACUCUGGUAUUCUCCCAGGAUGUGACUUGCCCCCUUCUCAGGGGAAAUGUUACCAUAUGGGAGUACCAGCUGCCACACUUUCUGAAACCAAGGCAUGGACCCGAAUCCUGCUAAUUUCCAGAAACAAAGACUAGGGUUUUAGAAGAGUAUGCUCCAGGACUCAGGCUUCUGCCAUUAAGUGAGAAAACCAAUUCUGACAAUCACCCAUGGAUAAGAGUGUGCUUGUGGAAAUCUGGGAGUCUAGUAGAGAAGUUCCAGCACAACACUGGAGCUAAGACAAAAAAGAAAGAAAGAAAGAAAGAAAGAUCCAAGAUUGGAGGCGUUGAAGAUGGAAAGCAGUCUGAAUGCAUGUCAUCCUUCUUUCUGAAGCACAUAAAAAAAAAAGCUGAUUUGUUCACCUCAUGCAUGGACUUAAUACAGUUUCCAACAAUAAAAUAUAUGUUGAUUAUU